rnacentral:rRNA from 1 species
CUGGCUCAGGAUGAACGCUUGCGGCAUGCCUAAUACAUGCAAGUCGAACGAGAAUCAUUGAGGUGCUUGCACCACUUUGGUUCUAGUGGCGAACGGGUGAGUAACACGUGAGAAAUCUGCCCUUUAGACUGGGAUAACUACUGGAAACGGUUUGUAAUACCGGAUGUCUUCUUUGUACCGCAUGGUACUUAGAGAAAAGCUUAGAUGCACUAAAGGAUGAUCUCGCGGCGUAUUAGUUAGUUGGUGAGAUAGUGGCUCACCAAGACAAUGAUACGUAGCCGGCCUGAGAGGGUGACCGGCCACACUGGGACUGAGACACGGCCCAGACUCCUACGGGAGGCAGCAGUAGGGAAUCAUCGGCAAUGGGGGAAACCCUGACCGUGCAAUGCCGCGUGAGUGAUGAAGGCCUUCGGGUUGUAAAACUCUGUUGUGAAGGAAGAACAACCUAGAUAGAAUCUAGGUCUGACGGUACUUCACCAGAAAGCCAUGGCUAACUACGUGCCAGCAGCCGCGGUAAUACGUAGAUGGCAAGCGUUAUCCGGAUUUAUUGGGCGUAAAGGGUGCUCAGCUGGUUUAUUAAGUUUGUAGUUAAAAUUCGAAGCUCAACUUCGAAGUGCUGCGAAAACUGGUAAACUUGAGUACAGAAGAGGGUAGUGGAAUUCCAUGUGAAGCGGUAAAAUGCGUAGAUAUAUGGAGGAACACCAGUGGCGAAGGCGGCUACCUGGUCUGUAACUGACGGUCAAGCACGAAAGCGUGGGGAGCAAAUAGGAUUAGAUACCCUAGUAGUCCACGCCGUAAACGAUGAAUACUAAGUGUGGAGAAAUUCAGUGCUACAGUUAACGCAAUAAGUAUUCCGCGUGGG